rnacentral:tRNA from 1 species
UAGCUCAGUGGUAGAGCGUUGGUCUGACAAUCAGGACCUGAGGGUUCGAAUCCUUU